CAAUCUCAUAGCGGACUCCCCGGUGUUGCCCUUAUGAUCUCCCCACUCCCUCUUCAGUGUUCUGUGAGCCUUAGGUGUGGGACUUGUUUUGUAAAUGUAUCUACCGGGACUGACUGCACUCCACACCCUGACACUCUUUCCUCUACUUUUACUCAGAAUAUUUAUUUUGAAAUUCUCAUUUUAUUUCACAGGAUGGAUAUCCCAUUGAGUACUUAUUCACCUACUGAUAUAUGUUUGAGUUGUGUCCAGUUUCUUGCGCAUCAUAAUAAAGCCGUGUGUAAACCCAUGGUUAUGCUGGGUGUCCCCCAAAUGCAGACCGUACACCAAAGGAGCCCUAGAUAUUCUGUUCAUGCUGAUGUCUUACCUGAGGAUCUGGAAACCUGCUUUCCUGAAGCUUCUCUCGCCAUUCCCAGAUGUUAUCCUUGUUCAGCCACACAAUGAGAUGUCACAGACAUCUACUCUUUGACCAAGAGAAUGAGUUUUUGCUGAGAAAGAAGCCUAAUGAGAAGAGUGGGAAGGUCACUUCUGCUUUACUGGUGGAUUUGGACUGUCUCCAUGCUUCAACUGGGCUCUCCUGUGGUCACGUUUACUUCUUGCUGUGACUGAAAUAUCCCAAAGAACAACCUCAAGGAGAAAGGACUUAUUUGGGUUCACAGUUUCAGAGCAUUCAGUCCAUGGUUGUCUGACCCCAUGUGUUUGGGACGAACAUCAAGGGAUGGUUAGAGUACUGGGAGCACAGGGGAAAGUUGUUGACCUUGUAAACAGGGAGCAGAGAGUAAGACAAGAUUGGGGUGGGGAUGGGGCAUGGGAUAGGGCCAGGGAAAAUGCAACCAUGCUGCAAAUGGCUUACUUUCUUCAUCUAAGCCCCACACCCUUAAGUUUCCAUAACAUCACCAAAUAAUGUCAGCAAAUGGGGACCAAGCAUUAGACACAUGUACCUGUGUGGGAUAUGUAAACCAUAUCCAACCCUGUCAGACAUAUGGGUAAUACACCUCACAGGAGCAUCUAUUUUUAUGUAUGAUUGUCGUUAAGGCUCCAGUUAGGACCUAUUGAGAUUUUCUUACUCUCCUCCCUUAUAGAUAGAAUUAUGCAAUCAUCCCAUGCCCUGUUCUCAUGAGCAACAUCAGGCAUUCCUUACGAAGUUGGUCUGUAAAUCAAAAGCCUGGCAAUGGUUUUAGGGAUUUCCUAGAUAGCUUGUUGGGCCAGGCAGGAGAUUCAGCAGUCCAUCCUCCACGAGCUUCUCUUGGUUAUUUCAAAGAGACUUCAGUGCUGAUGGUGAAAUGUCUGUGAGAAAUUUCUAUGUGUAAGGCACACUCCUCAGAAUCAUAAAGGGACAUAGAGAAGGACAGCGAAAGCCCUUGACUUCAGCACAUUAUGACCAGGAAUCCAGGUCACAAACAUGAAAUUAAACAAUGAACUAAGGGUCUUGUAUGAACACAAAGAGCAAAGUCCCAGAGAUGUUCCAGAGCAGGGUGUAGUUAAGAAUUGGGUUAACUCAACAUACCUAACCUUUUCUAGGAAAACGAAGGCAUCUACUACCGUCUAACACAGCCUUUGUAUUCAUUCUCUCUCAAAGGCAAAGCCAGAUUUUAUGUCCCACCCUAUGGAAUUCAUGAUUUGUUUUCCAGCCAAAACACAGAAACAGAGCGGUGCUUAUUAUUUUAUUUAUCCAAACAAAGAGUUGAUGCAACUAGAUUAGAUAGUUUAAUUUCCUAGGAAAAGUUUCACUGAGUCACUGAGCCAUAUAGAACAGCACACUGCUGUGUGUCUUAAGAAGUCCAGAAACAACACGUAGUGGCAAAAUCAUAAAAUAAAAUAAAAUAAAAUAAAAAUAAUAAAAUAAUA
rnacentral:lncRNA from 1 species